rfam:Mesocricetus auratus contig002035, whole genome shotgun sequence.
AGCAUAUGUAUGAAGUACUUGUGUUUAACUUGAAAACAAGCACUUAUAAAUAGUGCAAAAAUAAAUCUCUUGCAAUCCAGAACUCAUUAUUUAAUGAACUGACAUAUACAAGAAGCAGUAUU